ACCCACGGAGAAUGGAGGAAAGCAAGGCAGGAUGACAGCCCACCUGGGAGUGACAUGGAACCGUGGGAACCUCCCCCGCCCAGAGAAAUGGCUUCAAUGCUGAUACCUCCAGGCACUGGAAAAUCUGAGGUGACUAGGGACUAGAGUGGUUCCCAGCAUACCACAGGAGUCCUACAGAAAAGUGGUGAGAUGGUUAUGUGGGUGCUUGUUCUCACAUCUCCUCACUGAGCAGGUCCUCCAGGCCUGGGCCUCCAGCCACUCUCCUGCCAGAGUUGUCAAGCCAGUAGCUGUUCAGCAGCCCACUGGACAGAGACCCCAGGGGCAAGUAAAAGCCUCUCUACCACUGCCUCUGCAGUGGAACUGCCCUUGCUACCCAUGGACUAACGAAGGAGCAAAGACACUAAGUGCUUCAUCCACACCUGUAACAAGCUACAGUUCACCAAAGGAGGGGAGGCCAGUCUGUCUCCCACAGGUCCCACCCAUCCCCCACUGCUCAUCACCAGACAGGGAACCCCCAGCUUGCACUCACAGCACAGACCUUCCAUCCUGGGUUGACUGCACUGAGCAAUUGCUGACCUGCAACUCUCUGUGGUGGAGCCUCCAGCAGACAAGCAAAAGAUCCUUGGCCAUACCCACUACUAAGGUCCCUUCUGCUACCUUCAAGUUGGGGAAUGAACAUAAACACUGGAUUGUCCCAGAGCUGCAGUGGGCAGCCCAGGAAUGGCAAGUCACAACCUACAGCCAGCAUUAAGGGGAAGAGGAACCCACAUUUUAGAGUAUUGAAAGUUAACACAGUUGAAACUAUGAGGAAACAUAGGGGAGCCACACAACUGGGCAAGAGUCUACCAACUGACCAGUAAAUCUAAGUGCCACCUCCUGCAUCACAUUCCAAAGCUUCAACACCAAAAACACCUUGCUAACAUACCCCCUUCUGAAACGAGAGACAAGAAGUCAGCUGCAAAUAAAGACUCUGCGCAAAGCUUCAGCCCUGUGAAAAAAAUCCAUAAAAGAUGUCUAUUAACUGUACUCAUUCUACAUUGCAGUUAAAAGAAUACCCACAUAGAGAGAUAGAACCAAUGCAAGAAGUCCAGUAACUCAAAUGGCCAGAGUGUUGUAUGUCCUCCAAACAACCACUCCUGUUCUCAAAGAAGAGUUCUUAACCAGCUGAACUGGCUGGAAUGACAGAAAUAGAAUUCAGCAUAUAAAUAGGAAAAAAGAUCAUUGAGAUUCAGGAGGAUAGGAAAACCCAAUUUAAGGAAACUAAGAAUCAAAAUAAAGCAAUAAAGGAGCUGAAAGAUGAAACAGUCUGUAUGGGAAAGAAGCUAAUGAGUCUGACAGAGCUGAAUAACACAAUACAAAAAUUUCACGAUGCAAUCACAAGUAUUAACAGUUGAGUAAACUAAGCUGAAGAAAAAAAUCUCAGAACUUGAAGACUGGUUCUCUGAAAUAGGGCAGUCAGACAAAAAUAAAUAAAAAAGAAUAAAAUGGAAUGAACAAAACGUCUGAGAGUAUGGG
rnacentral:lncRNA from 10 species